rnacentral:rRNA from 1 species
UACGGAAGGCAGCAGGGGGAAUAUUGCACAAUGGGCGAAAGCCUGAUGCAGCUAUGCCGCGUGUAUGAAGAAGGCCUUAGGGUUGUAAAGUACUUUCAUCGGGGAGGAAAAACAAAACUAAUAAUUUUAUUUCUUGACGUUACCCGAAAAAGAAGCACCGGCUAACUCCGUGCCAGCAGCCGCGGUAAUACGGAGGGUGCUAGCGUUAAUCAGAAUUACUGGGCGUAAAGAGCACGUAGGUGGUUUUUUUAAGUCCGAUGUGAAAUCCCUGGGCUUAACCUAGGAACUGCAUUUUGAAACUGAAAUACUAGAGUAUCGUAGAGGGAGGUAGAAUUCUAGGUGUAGCGGUGAAAUGCGUAGAUAUCUGGAGGAAUACCUGUGGCGAAAGCGGCCUCCUAAACGAAUACUGACACUGAGGGUGCGAAAGCGUGGGGAGCAAACAGGGAUUAGAUACC